rnacentral:rRNA from 1 species
AACGAACGCUGGCGGCAUGCCUAACACAUGCAAGUCGUACGAGAACUCCGUGUCGGGGGUCGCACGGUUGCGUAAGGGGUGGGAACAUGCCCUUAAGUUCGGCAUAACUCUGCGAAAGGGGUGCUAAAAUGGGAUAAAGUCUUCGUACCAACGCUUUAUCGACGUUGGGUGGGGGCGCGUUGGGGCGGUUGGGGGUUAACGUGCGGCCUAACAGCUUGGUGGUGCGGUAGUGGCCUACCGAGGCGGCGACGGGUAGCUGGCCCGAGAGGGUGACCGGCCACAGUGGGACUGAGAUACGGCCCAGACUCCUACUCGUGGCAGAAGUGGGGAAUAGUGCUCAAGGGGCGCAAGCCUGAUGCUGCAACGCCGCGUGCGGGAGGACGGUCUUCGGGUUGGAAACCGAUUUCAGCAUGGACGAAGCUUUUUGUGACGGUACCUGCAGAAGAAGCACCGGCUAACUACGUG